rnacentral:lncRNA from 1 species
GGUGGCAUGGGUAGCCUACUAUAGGUUGCGCCGGUCUAAUUGUCUGGCGUCCGAAAUUUCUUCCAACUUUGCUUGGUUCUGGUGGCAGAUCUUUCAUGUCCGCUCUGUUUAUUCCCUUUUAUUCCUCAGCAGUUUGAUUUUUCGUUUUUGGUUCACUUCUCCAUUAUUACUCCUUGGAAAACCAUUCGCCUGAAGUUCCAUAAGAUGCCAUGGAGCUCCCUUAUUUGGCAACCACCAUUCACCCCAGCUCAUAAUUCCUCGAGAAAAAUCGACUACUUGGGGGAUCCUGACAGCAACUGAUUGUGUUUUUUGUGAUUUAGGGGAGGGUUCACUUGACCAUAUCCUGACAGGGGUGGCUUUAUUUGAGACAACCGAUUUUCUUUGAUUUCCCUUUUGGCCUUCUUGUUGGGGAAACUGUAUAUAUGGAUUUGCGUUUUCGGCGGCUUAUGUACCCUAUAAAAUUAGAAUCUAAAUCAAUGUUGUUU